rnacentral:rRNA from 1 species
UACGGGGGGGGCAAGCGUUGUUCGGAAUUACUGGGCGUAAAGGGCGCGUAGGCGGCCAACUAAGUCGGACGUGAAAUCCCCAGGCUCAACCUGGGAACUGCGUCCGAUACUGGAUGGCUCGAAUCCGGGAGAGGGAUGUGGAAUUCCAGGUGUAGCGGUGAAAUGCGUAGAUAUCUGGAGGAACACCGGUGGCGAAGGCGGCAUCCUGGACCGGUAUUGACGCUGAGGCGCGAAAGCCAGGGGAGCAAACGGG